rnacentral:rRNA from 1 species
UGCGUAGGCGGAAAAUUAAGUCAGUGAUGAAAUCCUGCAGCUUAACUGUAGAACUGUUAUUGAUACUGAUUUUCUUGAAUAUAGUUGAGGUAGGCGGAAUGUGCAAUGUAGCGGUGAAAUGCUUAGAUAUUACACAGAACACCGAUUGCGAAGGCAGCUUACUAAGCUAUUAUUGACGCUGAGGCACGAAAGCGUGGGGAGCGAACAGGAUUAGAUACCCUGGUAGUCC